CAGUUUCCUUUCCGUAUCUUCAACAGAUAAUGUUCAUAAAUACAUCCGUAUGUGAGGGCACAUGAUGGACUAAGAUACAUGCCGUGAAAACAGUUUUGCAGAGAAGUGCAUUUCCUUAACUUCUCAAUCCAAGUUCUACUCUUCCAGGAUUAACGAGUACUUGCAGGUGUACACCACAUCAUCCCGACCAGGGUUUAAGAAACAAGGUGCCGUCAGAUCAAAGAUAAAGGGGUUCUUGCGGCUAGACUGAACAUACCGUGGCCGUGAACCUUCACUCUCCACUGUCAACUGAUACAAGAAGCCAAUGGAAGACACCAAGCUCAAAUGGGCUCCUACAGAUGGAUCGAAACUAGCUGGCUUCUGGAAUCAGA